CCUACGGGCGGCAGCAGUGAGGAAUAUUGGUCAAUGGUCGGGAGACUGAACCAGCCAAGCCGCGUGAGGGAUGAAGGUACAGAGUAUCGUAAACCUCUUUUGUCAGGGAACAAAGGCGGGGACGUGUCCCCGGAUGAGUGUACCUGAAGACAAAGCAUCGGCUAACUCCGUGCCAGCAGCCGCGGUAAUACGGAGGAUGCGAGCGUUAUCCGGAUUUAUUGGGUUUAAAGGGUGCGCAGGCGGUCUGUUAAGUCAGCGGUAAAAGCCCGGGGCGCAACCCCGGCCCGCCGUUGAAACUGGCAGUCUCGAGUGGGAGAGAAGUAUGCGGAAUGCGCGGUGUAGCGGUGAAAUGCAUAGAUAUCGCGCAGAACUCCGAUUGCGAAGGCAGCAUGCCGGCUCCACACUGACGCUGAGGCACGAAAGCGUGGGUAUCGAACAGGAUUAGAUACCCUGGUAGUC
rnacentral:rRNA from 1 species